ACUAUUUUGGCAGAAUAAUGCAAUAAAUUUAGCAUUAUUUUUUUUUACUAUUUUGGCAGAAUAAUG
rnacentral:tRNA from 1 species